rnacentral:rRNA from 1 species
CCUACGGGAGGCAGCAGUGAGGAAUAUUGGUCAAUGGCCGGAAGGCUGAACCAGCCAAGCCGCGUGAAGGACGAAGGUGCCAAGCAUUGUAAACUUCUUUUGGCAAGGGACAAAAUCAGGCUCGAGAGCCUGACCGAGGGUACUUGAAGAAAAAGCAUCGGCUAACUCCGUGCCAGCAGCCGCGGGAAUACGGAGGAUGUGAGCGUUAUCCGGAUUUAUUGUGUGUAAAGGGUGCGUCGGCGGACUGUUAAGUCAGCGGUGAAAGCCCGGGGCUCACUCCCGGCGAGCCGUUGAAAAUGGCUGUCUUGAGAUGUCGAGAGGUAUGCGGAAUGCGCAGUGUAGCGGUGAAAUGCUUAGAUAUUGCGCAGAACUCCGAUUGCGAAGGCAGCAUACCGGCGGCGAUCUGACGCUGAGGCACGAAAGCGUGGGUAUCGAACAGGAUUAGAUACCCGUGUAGUC